rnacentral:rRNA from 1 species
UACAGGGGGUGCAAACGUUGCUCGGAAUUAUUGGGCGUAAAGCGCGCGUAGGCGGCUUCUUAAGUCGGAUGUGAAAGCCCUUGGCUCAACUGAGGAAGUGCACCCGAAACUGAGUGGCUAGAGUACGAAAGAGGGUCGCGGAAUUCCCGGUGUAGAGGUGAAAUUCGUAGAUAUCGGGAGGAACACCGGUGGCGAAGGCGGCGACCUGGGUCGAUACUGACGCUCAGGUGCGAAAGCGUGGGGAGCAAACAGG